rnacentral:rRNA from 1 species
GAUGAACGCUGACAGAAUGCUUAACACAUGCAAGUCAACUGUGGCGGACGGGUGAGUAACGCGUAAAGAACUUGCCUCACAGCUAGGGACAACAUUUGGAAACGAAUGCUAAUACCUGAUACUGUGAGAGAGCUUUGCGUCCCAUUAGCUAGUUGGCGAGGUAACGGCUCACCAAGGCGAGGAUGGGUAGCAGGCCUGAGAGGGUGAUCGGCCACAAGGGGACUGAGACUCUGCCCUUACGUCUACGGGAGGCAGCAGUGGGGAAUAUUUGACAAUGGACCAAAGUCUGAUCCAGCAAUUCUGUGUGCACGAUGAAGUUUUCGGAAUGUAAAGUGCUUUCAGUUGGGAAGCGGUACCAACAGAAGAAGUGACGGCUAAAUACGUGCCAGCAGCCGCGGUAAUUC